rnacentral:lncRNA from 1 species
AUGCCUAAGGUUUUUGUGAGCAUCCAUGUGGUAGUGUUUUACCCGAGAUUCUCUGACUGUGAGGAAGACACACUGCAGUGGUCAGAGACACAAAGAGAAUGUGAAAGACUUACCAGAAACGGAUGGAAGAACAGGCCCAGAGCCUGAAUGACAAAACAACAGCUGCAUUUCAACAAGGAAAGAUCCCUCCUGCUCUGUUUUCUGCUCCUCUGCCUGCAGGGGCCAUGAUCCCACCUCCCCCCAGUCUCCGGGGUCCUCCCUGGCCUGGCAUGAAGCCUGCACCCCACAUGGGAGGCCCUCCCAUGAUGCCAAUGAUGGGUCCCCCUCCUCCUGGUAUGAUGCUUGUGGGACCAGCUCCUGGGAUGAGACCACCCAUGGGAGGCCACAUGCCCAUGAUGCUUGGGCCUCCAAUGAUGAGACCUCCCGCCCACCCUAUGAUGGUGCCCACACGGCCUGGCAUGACCUGGCCAGACAGAUAA